GCUGCAACUCGCCUGCAUGAAGUCGGAAUUGCUAGUAAUCGCAGAUCAGCAUGCUGCGGUGAAUACGUUCCCGGGCCUUGUACACACCGCCCGUCACACCAUGGGAGUCGGUAACACCCGAAGUCGGUAGCCUAACCGUAAGGAGGGCGCCGCCGAAGGUGGGAUUGAUGACUGGGGUGAAGUCGUAACAAGGUAUC
rnacentral:rRNA from 1 species